AAAGCUUGCUUCUCAAGAGAGAUCCUGCUCAUGAAGAGAAACUCAUUUGUCUAUAACUUCAAGCUCAUCCAAGUCGCAAUAAUGGCAUUGAUUGCAAUGACAAUCUUCUUUCGGACUGAGAUGCACCGAGAUUCAAUAACUGAUGGAGGAAUUUAUGCUGGUUCUUUAUUCUUCUCUAUGAUUUUUAUCAUGUUCAAUGGUUUAU
rnacentral:misc_RNA from 1 species